UACGUAGGGGGCAAGCGUUGUCCGGAUUUAUUGGGCGUAAAGAGCUCGUAGGCGGUUCGUCGCGUCGGCUGUGAAAACCCGGGGCUCAACCCCGGGCCUGCAGUCGAUACGGGCAGACUAGAGUGCGGUAGGGGAGACUGGAAUUCCUGGUGUAGCGGUGAAAUGCGCAGAUAUCAGGAGGAACACCGGUGGCGAAGGCGGGUCUCUGGGCCGUAACUGACGCUGAGGAGCGAAAGCGUGGGGAGCGAACAGG
rnacentral:rRNA from 1 species